AACUUUCAACAACGGAUUUUUUGGUUCUGGCAUNNGAUGAAGAACGCAGCGAAAUGCGAUAAGUAAUGUGAAUUGCNGAAUUCANUGAAUCAUCGAAUCUUUGAACGCACAUUGCGCCCGCCAGUAUUCUGGCGGGCAUGCCUGUCCGAGCGUCAU
rnacentral:rRNA from 1 species